rnacentral:rRNA from 1 species
AUACGGAGGGUCCAAGCGUUAUCCGGAUUCAUUGGGUUUAAAGGGUCCGCAGGCGGGAAAAUAAGUCAGUGGUGAAAGCCUACAGCUCAACUGUAGAACUGCCAUUGAUACUGCUUUUCUCGAGUAUAGAUGAAGUGGGCGGAAUAUAUCAUGUAGCGGUGAAAUGCAUAGAUAUGAUAUAGAACACCGAUUGCGAAGGCAGCUCACUAAACUAUUACUGACGCUCAGGGACGAAAGCGUGGGGAGCGAACAGGAUUAGAAACCCUAGUAGUCC